GAUGAAGAACGCAGCGAAAUGCGAUAAGUAGUGUGAAUUGCAGAAUUCAGUGAAUCAUCGAAUCUUUGAACGCGCAUUGCGCCCCUUGGUAUUCCAUGGGGCAUGCCUGUUCGAGCGUCAUUUGUACCCUCAAGCUUUGCUUGGUGUUGGGUGUUUGUCCCGCGUUGCGCGUGGACUCGCCUUAAAGCGAUUGGCAGCCGGCAUAUUGGCCUUGGAGCGCAGCACAUUUUGCGCUUCUAGUCAUGAAUGUUGGCGUCCAUUAAGCCUAUACAUUUGCUCUUGACCUCGGAUCAGGUAGGGAUACCCGCUGAACUUAAGCAUAUCAAUAAGCGGAGGA
rnacentral:misc_RNA from 1 species